rnacentral:rRNA from 1 species
CACGUAGGGCGCAAGCGUUGUCCGGAAUUAUUGGGCGUAAAGAGCUCGUAGGCGGUCUGUUGCGUCUGCUGUGAAAACCCGGGGCUUAACCCCUGGCUUGCAGUGGAUACGGACAGACUAGAGGUAGGUAGGGGAGAAUGGAAUUCCCGGUGUAGCGGUGAAAUGCGCAGAUAUCGGGAGGAACACCGGUGGCGAAGGCGGGUCUCUGGACAGUUCCUGACGCUGAAGCACGAAGGCCAGGGGAGCAAACGGG